AAGGGUACAUUGUUCUUGCAAUUUUUUCACAAAAGCGCAUAUGAAACGUUCCCUAUUGAACUGUUCGGUAUUUUAUUUUUAAGUAUUAAGUUUUAUUUUCUUCUCGCCUUUUUAAUAACAAACCGUUUUAUGAUGAAAAGAAAGUAAGUUGUCGCGAAUCUUCCACGCUUUAUAUCACCUACGAAUACUCUUGGAUUUAAUGCAUUCUGCAGGUGACGAGACAAACGAAAGCGGUUGGUUUCUUAACGAAAAACUUAAAAGAGAAGCAACAAACCUAAUCGUGACUUGGGAAUAGCGACUUGAGUAUAGCUUUGAUUGUUGAUCUGUUCUAAAACUACAGGCGAAUGCGUAGACGAUUACAGACGAAUAACAGACGAAAACAGACGAAUCACAGACGAGUACAGACAAGUUACAGACGACUUACAGAGGAGUACAGAUAAUCACAGACGAGUAUAGACAAGUUACAGACGAGUACAGACAAGUUACAGGCGACUUACAGACGAGUACAGAUAAUCACCACAGACAAAUUACAAAUCACAGACGAGCCGAUUUUUUUUCUAUCUUUAAAAAUGAAACUACAUAAAAAGAAAAGACUUUAUAAUGACCAGAAGAAAGGGAUGGAAAUUAGUGAUAGUGAUGAAGAUUGUGUGAUAACUCGAGGGACCAAGUAUGAUAAAGGCUUCAACUUACGGGGAACAGCAAAAUGCAUUAUUGUAUUGUUCUUUUACAUGCUGCUUUCUGGAAAUUCAAUGUCUCAGAAAAAAAAACUUGGCUAGAUGGGAAGUGUUAAAUAGUCCGACUUUUGUUUUUAUCUUUACUAGGAAAUUUAUCAGGUUAUGUAAAUACAAAACUACUAGCCGUAAAUACAAAAAUGGUCUUUUAUUUAUGAACAUGUCCUAUUCUUUACUUCGUGGUGUUUGAGAGGCCUCUUAUUGCGUCACAUAAUUUUUGGCUCUGGAACUGAGUCGAAAGUCAAAGCAAAAAAAAGCAAGCAAAGCAGCACUGGCGGACUAUGUGAAAUUAUGAUCAUAAUCAUUCCUCUCAUUGCAAAUUUGUAACCCUCCUGUUAUGUACAACUGUAUCAUUUUUCAACAAAGAUUUCCUUAACAAACUUUCACAGGUAGAAACCAAAGUUUCAAGCUAAAAGUUCUCCUAGAGCGUUAAUUCGCAACAGUUUUUUUCGCUAUCUUUCACGAAAUUUUAUAUCUGCGAAAAGUAAAAAUUUUAUGAAUUUUUUCAUGCGCUAAAGUUUCUGCACUUCA